AUCGUCAUCCUCCGUGUGACCCUGCCAGAUUCCACGAUUUGGGGAUUCCCUAUGAGGAGCCGGCGCGUCGUCCUCAUCGCAGGCGGGCGGGUGUUGGCAUGUGCGCGUAUGGAGGAGCUCCACCUCACCCACUUCAGCUUCCUCCUGUCGUCAUCAUCGUCCUCCGCGCGACCACGCCAGCUUCCAUGGUUUGGGGGAGCCUUCCCUAUGAGGAUCCAGCGUGUCGUCCUCGUUGCACCCUAAUUAGGUUCCUGGUGUGUCCGCACCGCCGCACCCUAAUUUGAUUUCGACUGGAGUCUAGGACGUCAGCGCCACCAGUUUACCAAUCAGGUCAUUAGCACUGCCGUCCAGGUGAUAAUAAACGCCGUUCACCACAAAAAGAGGUGAGAGGCAGAUUCCAGAUAAGGGAGCAAACUGCGUAGCAAGAUCAAUAAUGAAUGGUUCAAGUCAUGUGUUACAAGUUACAAUGAGCAGGUGGUACUCAAGUCCGUUGAUGAUAAGGAUAUUAUUCGAACAUUUACUGCAAUGAGGUCUCGGAAAGGGCAUUUGCCUCGUGAUUGUCUUUAGUGCGCUGUCGGUAUUCGGUAUGUUCCAUCUGACCAUCUCUAUUCUUGCAAGCUUUUGAUUUGUAAUAUAUUCAAAUAAUUUGUAUUUAAAAAUUAUGGGUUAGUAGAUCCGUUUUAAUUUGCAUUUCUAUUCUUGCAAGUAUUCGGUAUUUGCAUUCUUUUGUCCACGCUUUAAUUCCUAGAUCCCGUUUGUUUCGGCAGCAUUGUUACUUUGUUGUUUCUUCUGCUACAAGGCCCAUGGUUAUAGUAAACCUUCUUAUUUUAAGCAUCCUAUCAAACCUACUUAAACAAACGUGUGCCUUUUUGCCCACAUCUUCAUGCUAUUCAUCUGCAUGUUGCCUUGCAUAUAUAUAUUUGGUCAAAAAGCAUACGGUUUCACCACAACAGGUAACACACAGGCCAUAUGUGUCCUCUGCUUAUGGAUCUGUACUUGUGUUUCGUAUAUGCUAACCAUACUUUCUGUUGCUCUCGCCAAACUCUCGUGUUAACUGUUGAGUGAUGGGAUCAGUUCAUGACCUAACUAAAACCUCUGAUCCAACACCUCAUCACACUUUUGGUCAGACAUGCAUAUUAGGCCAACGGCACAUUUUAGUGAAUGAAAACUAUGAGAUGAGAAUAAAUAGGCGCUCUGUUUGGUUCAGAUAUUUUCAUACAUAAUUUGAUGUACUUCUCAUGGAUAUCUUCUUACACGUGAGCUUAUUUUGAAGAUGAUAAUAAGU